UAAUUGGAUUCGACCACCGACAAAGUAAAGAAGCCACGUCGCUACCACCCGGAACGGUUGCUUUUAGGUUCCACAAAUGUUACCACAAAUUGGAAUUACUCCUAAGAAGGAUUUGAAAAACAUGAGGCAUGAAUAAUGGCUUACUUUCUGCUGCAGCUGCUUCAACAAAUAGUGCUUAUGAAAUGGGAACAAAGAUGCAUUGCAAAAGCUACUUCCCAGGGCCCAGGGGUUAAGAUGGUGAGACCUUAAUGAUGAUUCUUGCAGUAAUAGUUGGACCUUAUCUCACAGGGCCAAUAUUGUGGCAAAGAAUGCUUGUAGUAUAUAAGAAUCUGGUACUUUUGUCAUCUUUUAUCAUUAUAUUUCUCAUUCUAAGAUCAACUGCCAUUUGUUUUGAUCAACUAUAUAAUGCAUAACUUCUUAGAGUUUCUUUGGGCACAUGUUUUUGAACUCCAUCGUAUUUCUAUAAUUUAUAGGGACAUAUGGAAUAGUUCAAUAUGAGUGAUCUUCGUAAUGGUGAUCGAGCAUUAGGGGAACCAACAUCAUUAUCAACUCUUCAAGGACUUCAAGUGCCUUUAAAAGAUGUUUGAAAAUAGCAGGUUUUCCUUUGUUAAAUUCUUUUCAUGGCAGAACAUAUGUUGCUCCAGUUAGAUUUGGACACUUUAUACACAUAAUAAUCUGCUUCAUUUUCUGGAAUACUUGUGUUCUUAUGUACCUAUUUUUUAAUCAUCUAUUUGGAUAUUUCUGUAGCAGAAAAGAGUGAUGGAUUUUUUGGAGGGUAUACACCUCUAUUAAAUCAAGAUUCAUAGGUUGGUUGCAGAGAACAUUUGCUCAUUUGACAGAUAUAAGAGACUCACAUAUCUAAAGAAACAAGCAUGUCUCGUGCAAAUAUGUUAUGCACUUUUGGAUAGAUAGGACUUUACAGUUUUUACUACAUAGAAGAUGAACAACACUUAAUAUGUUUAGUAUGCGUGUGAAAAAACACAUU